CAGAUUUUGGUGGCAGUUAUCGGCUCGGCCGGUCUGCUUCCACUUCAGGAGUCCGUCAAACAUCUAUCCAAAGGCAAAAUCAGGUAUCAAACGCACCUAGACGAUUCUUUCAGUUUAUUACUUUUAACUACUGGUAGCAAUGUAUAGAACCCAUGGAGUCCAUUGAACCGUUACUUAACAUGUCAGGAUAAAUCCCAGAUUCAAUGUCCCCAAAGCUUGCUCAUUCUUAGUCACCCUCUGCAUGUAGCCAGCUAAUCUCAUAUGAUCUGUUUAUUGACAGGAUCGCUUUUCCAUAGCAUUCUAGGAACUAACAUCAGCCAUUUGGGAGAAAGCCAUGUCUAAUGCAAGAAUCGGUAAAAGGUCACCAAGGAGGGUUAAAUAGUGCGCUGAGGGUGCCCCCACCCUCAGGGACCUCAUCCCGCCAGGCUCUAGGGAGAGGAAGGGGUUAAAAUCUUACCUUUCUCCGGCGCCGGGCAGAGAGCUCUCCUCCUCCUCUGCUUCUUCCUAGCAACGUCAUCGGCUGAAUGCGCAUGCGUGGCAGGAGCUGCGCGCGCAUUCAGCCAGUCUCAUAGGAAAGCAUUCAUAAUGCUUUCCUAUGGACGCUGGCGUCUUCUCACUGUGAUUUUCACAGUGAGAAGCACGCAAGCGCCUCUAGCGGCUGUCAAUGAGACAGCCACUAGAGGCUCUAGAGGCUGGAUUCUCUGAAACUGCUAUGUUUAUUAAAAAAAUGGGUUAAUCCGAGCUGGACCAGACACCCAGACCACUUCAUUAAGCCGAGGUGGUCUGGGUGCCUAUAGUGGUCCUUUAAUCAAGAUACCAACUCCCAAUAUAGCAUCAUACUGCAGGCAGGAGAUAAGGCCUUCUGUGCCUCCAUUAACUAAAUCGUGAAGAAUAGUAGGAGUAUAAUAGGAGACGUUCCAUAUGAUGCACGCCCAGCUUCCGUUACACAUUGUGCAGCUCUGGGAUAUCUGUCUGUUUUCUUCCAUUCAAGUAGAGGAGGGACGUGACAUGUUCCGACUUCCAUUAGAAAAUACAUUUACUAAUAACAUACCAUGGCCACUUUCCUAAAACACUGAAAUAUGUCACCCUUCCUUUAAUAUACAUGAAUAUAUAAAAAGUUAUUAAAGACUGUGAUUUUACAGACUGUAAUAAUAUAGACUGUAAUAAUAUAGACUGUUAUAAUAUAGACUGUGAUAUUAUAGACUGUGAAUUUAUAGACUGUGAAUUUAUAGACUGUGAUAUAGGAUGUGAGAUUAUAGACUGUGAUAUAGGAUGUGAGAUUAUAGACUGUAAAAUAGUCUGUGAUUUUAUAGUCUGUGAUUUUAUAGUCUGUGGUUUUAUAGUCUGUGGUAUUAUCGACUGUGAUAUUAUGGACCGUGAUAUAGGAUGUGAUAUUAUAGUCUGUGAUUUUAUAGACUGUGAAAUUAUAGUCUGUGAUUUCAUAGACUGUGGUAUUAUAGUCUGUGUUAUAGGAUAUGAUAUUAUAGUCUGUGAUAUUAUAGUCUGUGAUUUUAUAAACUGUAAUAUAGAAUGUGAUAUUAUAUACAUGUGUAAAUAUGGAUAUCAGUAUCUGUAGUAUAUACCAUUGUAUUAAACCAGAAUAUGUAGACAGAGCUCUCAUAUAUAUAUUUAAAGUCAGGCUCAAAAUAUAGAAGGAGCGUUCAUCCCAUGCUGUGUCUCAGUGAUAGGUGAUAAUAAUUAGACGCUGGACAUGCUAUGUCCAAGUGACAAGUCCUGUGGUCUGUACAAAUGACUAAUCUUGGCUGCAUGCAGUAAAGUGGUCUAAAAAGACCUUGUUAGCAGUGAAGGAUAGUUGGAAUGAAUAGUCCAGGUGGUAAGGAUAGUAGCGAUGUCUUAAAGGAUACAUUGUAACGAGUAUAAGAUAAACUUAGAUACCAAAGCGAAAAUAAAGUUAUAUAAAUGGCCAAACAGUAUGGCAGUGUUGGAACAGUUUCUAAGUUGUGCACAGUGAUACUACGCUCUUGUUACGGUUGCCUCCAGGCUAGCUGAAGGUUGGACCGCUUCGAUGUCUUGAUUCCCGAUCUUGGAGAGCAAGAGCGAAGCUCCAAACAAUAUCCAGCAAUAAUCCUGUAAGUGUAGAUAUCCCGCUAGCCAAUAAUAAGCUAGUAUAACGCUUUUCCCUACAACACGAGUCGAGGCUGCGAGUUGAGGGUAAGAAGAACUGGUUUAAUGAGCAUUCAUGCACGGCUUAAAUACAUAUUUUCAGGCCAGAAGAACACCCCUCUGGACCUGAUGCUACACAGGAUUACAAAGUGUAACAGCCAAUAGAAACAAAGUGCAUUUUCCAAAACACUCCCUCAACGGUUACAGUAACUCAAUUAUCUCCAGGUACAUGAAAUAAUAUCACUUUUAUAGAUGCACGAAAACUGAAUAAAAAUGUAUAACUUUUACAUCAUAGUCUUUAAAUACCACAUUCAACCCAUCCCUAGACAGCUUGGAUCUGAGCGCACAAAAUAUACGAAAAGUGCUCAGAUCCCACUAACGGUAUGCAAAUGCCAUGGGGAUGAAAAUUGUCUGUAGGGCUGUUCGACAAGUAGCAGCCUAUGUAUUCUCGGCCAUAGCAUCCUGCAAGGGGUCAGUGUAUCAUUCGUAGGGGCAAAGUAUCGAACGGCAUGUGCUUCGGUGUUUUAUACACGAACGGACGGGGCAAGAUGGAUCCCACCAGGGUUCAUGCAGAAUAGUGUCCGAAAAGAGUACCAGGCGUUUGACGACAAGGUCCUGCUGUGCGUUCGACAAUAAAAGAUGGCCGCUGCCACGUGUUCGUGCAUACGAACGAUGACCACCCGGUCAAUGAGCAAUUAGGUUGCGGUUAACCACAAGCCGCAGCUUCAGGGUGGUUAACUAGGGGCACACACCUCAGGUAGGGUGGUUGGUCGUUCGGUAGUUGGUUCAACAUGAAGUUCGGUGUCCCGUUCGACCUUCUCAUACGAACGGUGACCACCCGUUGAAGAUCCAUAAGGCUCCGGUUAACCACAAAACCGCAACUCCUUGUAGUUAGUUGUAGGCACACUCCUCAGGUAUGGUGGUCGUCCGUUCGACAGUGUGUUCGGUAUUUAGAGGGGUGAACAGGGUUAAUUGGCGGCACACACUAGGGGCCGGAUGGUCGGCGAUUCGUAUGUACGAAUGGCCUGCAAUAGUUGUUCAGGCAAAAGCAACAAAAUAGCAACAAAGUAACAGGGUUGUAGCAGACAGAGGGGAUUUUUGUAACAUGGCUCCCUCCUUGCAGAACACUCUGGCAGACACGGUUUGACCCCUUUUCAGGGCAACUUAAGGCUGUAUAGAACCAAAGUUAUUCUGGGCUGAGGUCUGUCUGCCUCGAUAACCCAUCGGUGUUGCCAUUUUGCUUCCCCGGUCUGUAAGAGAUGGUGAAGUUAAAUGGCUCUAGUGACAGGCUCUCCUCCUUGCAGAACACUCUAGCUUUUCUGGCUCUGCCCAGAAAAGCUAGGACCAGGGUCUUGGUGUGGGGUGUGGGGUAUGGGCCAGUCCACAACUGCCUCUAUCUUGGCUGGCUCUGGACAUUGCUUUCCACACCCCACCCAGUUACCCAGAUACCGAACUUCUGCCAUCCCAAAUAGCAUUUCUCUGAAUCUGAUCCAGGACUGUCCCCACUUGAGCUAAGUGCUCCUCUCAGGACUCACUGUAGAUCGCUAUGUCAUCCAGGUGUAGCCCGUGAAGUUACACAGGCUGCAUUAUCUGAAAUGCCCAGUAGAUGGCACAUGGACUCAGUAUGCUGUUAAUAAAACAUUGAGCUCUGAUCACAUGACUUGCUGAAAUCAGGAGAUGAGUGUGGCAUCAUCGCAGGGCCUGUCAGGACUUCCUGCACAGCUCUGAGGGAGGAGGAUUUUAAGAGUGACCACAUGCUGAGCCAGAGAAAGGACAUGUGAGAGACUGUAGCACAGAGAUAGGACCUGGCUGAGAGAACUUGUUUCACCCAAGAUCACACCAGCUGAGAGAGGGACCUGCAGAAAAGAAAGAAGACAAGCACUGAGUCCAGACGUCUGGCGAAUCCAGUGAGAGGAGACUGCUGCUGACUGACCUGGUUAAUCGUGUUGUGAGGGUAAGCCAAGCCUCUCCCUGUAUCACCACAGGGCACCUGUCUCCUCACUCACAGUAAAGACUCUGAGGUCCCGUGACGGACAUUACACAUCUGAGGCUGCUUCAGUGACCCUGCGGAGCAGGACUUAUAAGGGCCCCAACUCUCCUAUGUGCACCAACGGCCGCUAGGGCGAAGAUAAGGGGGUGGGGCGCAGGUGUGCUGGUGGGUGAGUGAGGAAAAUCCACAUUUGCAUUGUUAUCUGUGUUACUCUAUUGUAUUUUCCUAUGUAUGUUUGUUCAAUUGCUACUUACCAUAUAAAGUUAGUUCCAGUUAGACUGUGUCAGUCUCAUUGCACCAAGUAUGUUCCCAGUGGGACCCCACAUCCCUACCCCGGAUGCUCCACUGGGUGGAGGCACUGCCGCAGACAUGUACCCCAGCUCCCAGAUAGCGGAGGCUCAGGAUCCGCCUGUCAGGCAUAGUGAGUUAACUAGGUUUGGGGACCCCAAAGACACUAGGGGGCACCCCCAAAACCCCGUUACACAGGUAUGCACAAGCAAAGUCCUGGAAGCCAUCAAGGAGUCUAUCCACCAAGCGCUGGAACGUGGCUGGUAUUUUUCAUCCCGAACGGCAUAACCUUAAAUUGGUACAAGCCAAAUGGGGUGACAAAUGCUGACUUGGCCUCCCUGGCCAGGGGAAUUUGCCAAUAACACUUACUGAGGUCAAUGGUAGUUACGUAAUUCUAAACACCGCUGGACUUCCAUCAUCGCCUGUGUUCGGUUCUACACAAGUUAGAAGGGCACUGUUCGGUGGAAUCGUUCAUCUGAACAAGGGAAACAAGCUCCAGGGUAAGACCACUGACUAUGUUCGGUAGUUUGUUCAUUUUUAAACCAAACUAGACCGACCACUAGUCCUGAUACUAUGGAAUUGUUUUGGGCAUGGGACCAUGCGGGCGGUCGGUCAAACAAAUGACUUCCAGGAAAUUCCUGAAACCCUGAACUCAGGGCUAUCAGGGGAUGUGUUGUUUUAUGUAUUUUUAUGGUACUUUUGGGGUGUUUUGGAAAAAGUAUGUUUUUUCUGUGCUUGGAGAUAAUUGGAUUAGGUUAGUACAGUUCCUGAUCCAAUUAACAGAGAAGGGAUUAUCUAAUUUUGUAUGGCGGGUCACCCCCACGGUCACCCACCACAGACACCUGGAAAAGCUGUCUCCACUUUACCAACAACCCCUCCAGCUUCAAUAAGCCCAUAUCACACUUAGUGUAUUAUUGAGGAGCUGUUUGUAUGAUACAUUAGGUACCACGUCAGUACCCUCUGUUCCUUUUUGUUGCCUAUGGUAGUCUAGGCCAUGUAUUGGUCCCUACUACCUAAACUGCCUCGCAGGCCUCCACAUUGUCAAUCACUGCUGUUUCCCUGUAUCUCUACAACACAGGCACACCGACCUUAUCCUUUAGGGGGCUCGGCUCUCACUAGGUAGCACCAACCACCACGAUAAUACUACCUCCUUUUUGAAUGCUUAAUCUAACUCAACUGUAUCUAUGCCACUGAUGGAAACUACUCUCCUAAUAAUUUAAUAAUCUGGUUCUAUUUUACACUUGACUCUUACCAUUUAAAAAUGUGCAGUUAUUAAAAAUGCCAUAUUGAUGUUAUGUUUUGUUGCCAUUGGGCUUGUUUUGGCUAUCAUGGCUAUUCAAGCUGGAUGUAAUGCUCGCACAACAAAAAUAAAGAAUAUAAAAAAACAAAAAACAAGCAAAGUUUAAACGGAUUCCCAAACUGUGGAAGAGAAUGGCUCCUGAGAAGGCAAAAUAGGGGUUUUGUCACAUGGUCAAUAUUGUCUUAUGAAGACAUUCAAUCCACUUGGAGCUUUUUGGUGCUUCUAAAAUGGACACAAGUCCUGUAAAGCUACCUUAUAUGUAGAUGUUCAAGAGGCAGUACAAGAAUAGUUUAGAAGAUGGUUUCAAGUGAGAUAAGGGUACUAGUCAAGGUAAUCCCACCAUAUGUGCAUUUAAAGGAUUAUAUUCCCAAUGAGAAUGAUAGACACCGGCUUCCGACCAGGUAUGGGUGUGUAAGUAUCCACACGAGGGCAGCAAGAGAGACAAUUCUUGUUUGUUUUUUUCGUAUAUAACAGCAAGGUUCUCUCUGCUCACUCAUGUAAAAUAUUAAUUCAUAGAGUCAUAGUAUAUAUUUUAUUUAUAAUGUUUUACCUGGAAGAGUGCAGUUUUUCCACAGGAAAUCCAAACUGCGUAUAAAGGGGAAAGUCAUAGGUGUAAAAAAGAUGACGUUUGACACUUUACGUGGUAUUCUGUCUAGAUUUGGGAUGAUGAAGACGAAGAAAAUUUGGGAAUGGGACUGAUGAAGUUUAUGCAGCUAUAUAAAUGGUUCAAUAAAGUGAUCCCAGUGAUCUUAAUCUUAAUGGAUAACAAUCAGGUCUUUAGGUAUACUAGUCCAAAAGGGACAGAUCCACUCAAUUAAUUAGAUCUGUUUGGAAAGUCUUAUUUUAUAUAAGUAGGACUUUCUACCAGUUUCUGAGAGAAGAGUAUAAAUAGUAUGUACUAUAAAAAUGAUUUCUAGAAGUGCACAAAAAAUAAAUUUAGAUUGAUAACUAAGUGUUACAGAACUGAACGAGAAAAAAAAAAUAUUGCUAUCCAACUCCAUUUUAAAUGUAUUAUUUGUUUUAUAAUCUCUCACCUUUUCCAUAUCCACAGGCCAUACAUCCUCCUUCCACUCCAGUCCCCACCGGCAGCCGAGAAAGGGAUGGGAAAUUGCAGGAGGUGAUCGAGCGAAAACGUUUCCUUUGCCAUGAGAUCAAAUCCAGGCAACCCAGGGCUGAGCGGGGUUUAUGCAAGCAGGAAAGUUUGCCCAUCCUGCCAAGCUGGCGUCGUGGCUCUGAUGGACGCAAAGGGGGCACUCCACCAUGCCACCGGCAGCAGGCCGUGCUGUGGGAUACUGCCAUCUGAUAUCACUUGCCCCCUACCUCAACCUGGGGACGCUGGACGAAACCCUGAGGAAAGGGGUAGUAGGGGGAGAAAAGCUGUAAAGGGAAGCAGGAGGUGAGGAGCUCCAUAGAAAAACAGAGAUAAUAGUUAAGGGAGGACAUAUAUCCUGCAAGGGCUAGGGAAGCUCCUGUAGUGAAAAGUAAGUUGUUCUACCAGGACUAGAGAUUAGUUCAGUUGGGUAGUGGGUAAACUGUGAGGGAGUAGGGAGAGAUCGGCAAGUCAGUAAAUUCUUCUUUAAGAAUUGAUAGUGUGCAUAGAAACAAACAGGGUCGUCUUUGUGGUGGAAGGGAUACAUUCUUCUAGAGCAUAGAAGUCCCGUUAGUAAGAAGAGAGGAGAAUACUCAGUGGUCUAUACGUGGAGAUAUCCUGCAAGCAUAGGGUCACUGUAAGUCAAUAGACCGUACAGGAAGAGUUGUGCAUGGCCAGUAAAUGAAUAAACAAUAUACAGGAUGAACUAACAGGGAUAUAGGCAUAUGUUUCAGUGGAGAAGGAUGUGGGACUCAGCAAAAUAGUCAAGGGCUAAUGCAACAAUGAUACGCAGAGCAACCCUUACUGGGUGUAUUAAUAUGCUCAUCUUUUCUGAUUAAAACAAAAGGGGGCAGUAAUGGGUAGGAUUCAUGUUCUAGGAGUGCAGGACAAAAGGACUUAUGGCAAUACUCAACAUGUCUUUUGCAUAACUGUCUGCAGUCUUGCGAUGUCAAAGCUCAGUGGGUCUCUCAUGGGAUAAAGGUGUCAGCACAUUGUAUGGUUUAUUACUUAGUAAAAUAGUUAAUUAAUCUACUUAAUGGUUAAGGUGAUGUAACUGAGGCAUAAUGUCCUACUUGAUCCUUGACAUAUAGUAUGGAUGGAACUUACCAUAUAGCACUGUGACCAUAAUCCUGACAUUACCUCAUUACAGGACGACCUACAAAACUGCUUUCUAGUCCAAGAUUCUCCCUAAGAAUUAAUGGUGGAAAUAUCCACCAGUUCUAAUAAUUAACUGAGAUAAUUUACAAAGCAACAUCCAAUUCAAUGACAAGUCUCCGACUGGUCGGUCGAUAGGAAGGGGCACAGCAGUAAAAGAAUGAGCAUUAUGGUCUGUGCAGGACAACCCAAGACUGCUGUAAUACAGGCCAGCAAUAGUUCUGAACACAAAGUACAAACCCAUCAAUCUAGAGCACUGUUCCCCAACCCAGUCCUCGUGGACCACCAACAGUCCAGGAUUUAUGUAUUUCCCUGUUUUAUUCCAAUGGAGAUACUGGCAAAACCUGGACUGUUGGUGGUCCUUGCGUACUGGGUUCCGGGUCAGAUCAGGAAGCAGAUAAGUCAUAAGUCUAUCUCAUCAAAGAGAGUCAUUGUCUGUCCAGCAGAGGGCAGUAUGUUUCAGCAGCAAACCAAGAUGAAGCCAAAACGAAUUCCAGAUAUUAAAGCCAGAAAAGCAGCCAGCUCAAAAUUAACAAACCAAAAUACUGGGUUUCAAAAGUACAUACAGCAUUUUACAAACACUGAUAAAAUCACAGCUUAACAUGGAAAAUGGAAUUACACAUUUAGAGUAAUAUAGUUUACAUUUUGAGAAAUUAUUUGUAACUCUUCUAGUGAACGCACUGUUCUAAUGCCAAAUAAGUGUUGUAAUAUCUAGGCAUUGUUGAAUCCCAAGACACCCUACUCAUUUAAUAGGGUAAGCCUGGGUGCCAUUAGGGGCAUUGACACUAUAAUAAUCCUAUAUAUGGCUAUCACUGUAUGUCUGCCCAUCAGAUUGUUUAUUCAUUAAUCCAUUUGUAUCUGUCUAUUGUUUCUUUAUCAUUUAAGUGUAGAAGUUAUUUGUAGCAAAUUAGCUUCUAUAUUUGAGAAUGCAGUUAUCCACACAUUCUGAACCUUGCAUUUAAUGGACGGAUUUGUGGCUCUGGAGCUGGAUACAUCAGACAGCUGUAUAUCAUUUUGCAAUGCAAGCUGCCGCUCCCAAAUGCCUAGUCCAUACAGACAACCAUUUCUUCCAUCAUCUUGGUCCAUGUAGAGAGUCAUUCUGUCUUUUGAAAGUUAUGUCUGAAGAGGGCAACAGUUUCCAUAACCCAAUGUCUUGCAUAGAGCAUCAUUAACCAUUAAAUAACACUAUACAAAGAGAAUCAGGGACAUGCAAAUGGUCCUGAACAUAUUGUGAUAUAUAUUUUACAAUAGAUGUAGGACUUUAAGAAUUUUUUAUCAGGAUCAAUGUAGAAAUUACAUGAAGAAAGGCUCAGGUUACAGACUAGCAGAAAUAACUUGUAUAAAUAACACAUGUGGUUUGAUAAUAUUUGUUGAGCUGGGCCUGAAUGUAACAUGAAAAUAGAAUCUCUCUAAAAUCAGACUGUCUGACUUGUGUGGGCCACAGUUUGUUGGUAGAUAUUCCCAGUUUACAUAUCCAUUAUCCAUAAAGGCCUUGGUAGCGUGAUGAUAGUUGCUUCUAUCAGAAUAACACCAGGUGCUACCUAACUGUAUGUCUUGUUAACCCAGUACUGCAUUUUCCAUCCUACUUUUCUCAGAUUCCAAGUUCAUCCAGACCCAUAUUCCAAGUUCAUCCAGUCCCAUAUUCCAAGUUCAUCCAGUCCCAUAUUCCAAGUUCAUCUAAUCUUUGGUUCCAAGUUCAUUCAAUCUUCAAUUCCAAGAACAUUCAAUCUUUGUAUCCAAGUUGAUUCCAAGUACAUUCGAUCCUUGAUUCCAAGUUGAUUCCAAGUUCAUUCAGUCUUUGAUUCCAAGUUCAUCCAGUCCCAUAUUCCACGUUCAUCCAGUCCUUGUCAGGGUUGGCAAGAGGAUCCACAGCAAGAUGAAAGGCAGCGACCUAACAAAGGAAAAGACAGAGUGAUAGGAAGAGGAGUAUUACCGGAUCUUAUAGUGGCCGUGCUUAAAGUAAAGCAAAGAACCAGGAAAUAACCCAACUAACUAGAUAUAUAGUUCAGGACAGAGAUGAACAACAAAAAAAAUCUGAAAAUAAACAAAAAUGUGCACCAUACAAAAAAAAUACAGGCUGGUAAAGGAACAAACGUAGUAAAAACAGGCCAAAGUCAGGAUUACGUACUGGAAGAGGUAGACAAACAAGCUAUGUCUGGUAGACGAACAGGGUAAUCAAACAAUACAAGUCUGCAGGAGAUUAAGAAUUGUCAAAGGAUAAACUGGGUCAAAAACCAGAAACAAGAUCAGAACAAACACAACAAAAGCUCAUGAACCACAAAAGGGCCCAGAACAGCCAGAGAGCUCUCUUUAAAUAGGAAUGUCCUGCACAUGCUCCCUGGGAGUAAUCAACAAGAAGGGCAGCACCUGUGUUACCCACAGUUGCCCUACAAUAUAAACAAUAAUGGGAUGAGAAAUUACCGGUACACCUUCUAAAAUUUUCCCAGGAGAGCAGGUUCCACUGUGGCACGGAAUGCGAUGUGCAGAGUCCGCAAGUGGGAGACAGGUGUUCAAGUCCCAUGGGAGGUAGGAUUUGUAAGCCUUAUUCCAAAUUCAUACAGUACCAAAUCCCAAGUAUAUCCCAUCGCAGAUUACAAUUUCAUACAGUCCCAGAUCCCAAGUAUAUCCCAGAUUACAAAUUUUUACCAGAUUUUAUGUCCAGAUACCAAUUGAAUUUAGACAUGGGUGCUAAGAUUCCAAAUACCAAAUACACUCAGUAUCAUAUGCUAAGGUUAGAUAUGCCUGUCCAAGAUUCUAAUAUUUGAGAUACCAUGUCUGUCCAGUUCUAUUGCAUAAUAGAUGCCUCCUCAUUCAUUCAUGUAUGAGGUGCCUUGAACCAUGUUUGUUUGCUCAUAUCAGUAUAAGCUUUAUCACUUUUAUAUAACCCUAUAUAUAGGAUUGUAUUAUCCCAUCAGAGACCUAUUAGAAAACCAGAAAAACAAACAUAGCUAAGUACUGCUGUACAAAAAGGACAAUAUGAACAUUAAGCUAAUUUUCAAACUUUUGGGAAAAAUUCUGCAUUUUUAUUAAAGGAAUAAUAUUCACAUCCACCAAGAGUUCCUUCAGAAACAUAUACCAAUAACAUUUAACUUUUUAGGGUAAUUUUCUGAAACUGUACUAAGAAAAUUUCAAAUAUAUACCCAUGUAUAUUAACAUGUUUUGUACAUAGGUGGAACUGGC